GGUCUACGCCACACCACCCUGAAGCCGACUCGUCUGAUCUCGGAGCUAACAGGUCGGCCUGUAUACUUGGAUGGGACCGCCUGGAAUACGGGUGCCUAGCUUA
rnacentral:rRNA from 1 species